CCAGUCUUCUCAAUGUUCUCUUGUCGUUCUCAGUAGCUUGGUCGGGGUACUCACGAUUCUUCACAUAUCGUAGGAUAUCGUGGUACCAAGGGUGAUCAUCAUUUUCCUCUUCUUUUUCGAGGUUGUAACAAUGAUCCAGGGCCUCGUAAAUGCUCAUUUGGAUUGGUUUCACAUCCUCUGGUUGGUUCACCUUAAUCAUAGAAGCUAAAGUUGCUAGGGCGUCAGCCAUCUGAUUUUCUUCUCGUGGGAGGUAGUAGAAGAUAAUAUCAUCAAACUCUGUAAUUAACUCAAGGAUCAACCUCCGGUAAUUGAUUAAUUUGGGGUCUCUU
rnacentral:lncRNA from 1 species